rnacentral:rRNA from 1 species
UACAGAGGGGCCGAGCGUUAUUCGGAAUUAUUGGGCGUAAAGGGCGCGUAGGCGGCCAUGCGUGUCUUCCGUGAAAUCCCUCGGCUUAACUGAGGACGUGCGGAAGAAACUGCAAGGCUCGAGUCCGGGGAGAGGGGGGUGGAAUUCCCGGUGUAGCGGUGAAAUGCGUAGAGAUCGGGAGGAACACCUGCGGCGAAGGCGGGGUUGCGUGGGCCGACACUGACGCU